GUUCCACCGUUCUCCGGAAACGCUUCAUGAUCUAUAUAUUCUGGGGAAUCCAAGGAACAACGCGGAAACGGACCGUCCACUAGCAAAGCAUACCAAAAGAAUACAUCAUAACUCUUUGAACGAUUAGGUAAGGGGAUUGAGAACGAUGUUGACAGGUGACGUCAUUUUUAUGGUUUUAGAAAAUGCAGGGAGAUAGUAGAAUUAAAUGGACGCAGACGUUACAAGUAGAUUACGUGUUUUUAUACGCGUGUUGUGUCACGGACGACAAACACGACGUCAUAAUCGGCUGAAGAAGCUCAGAAUGUGGCGGAGGAUAAUAAUUAGGACGAAAAAAGUCGAGGUAGCAACCAGAGUCCUCGUAGAAACAACGGAACGAAGGAACGUGGCUGGACCGCGGACCGUCCCUAGGAGAGGAUCGGGAGGCGGGGAGGGGAUAUGUACAAAGGAGGGAUGUGAUUGGCCGAAGCAGAGAGGAGAGGUUCUCGGCUGUCGCGAGGCGAGUUGAUUCCGCGCCACUUCGUUUCCGACUCGUGUACGCGUACGACGUGCUCCGAGGACUAACUCUCAGAACAAAUUCUUCGAUUUUCUUUUGUCUGCUAAAGGGCCAAAAACUGCCAUCCUGACACAUUCUAUGCUACACAUAUAGUUUCUUGUCUGUACGAAUGAGCUAGACGCGUAUGCGUGAUUUUCCACGCAUACGUAACACGGGAGGCUGCUGGCUGGUGUAGGUGUAGGUGCGUGCUAUCGACCGGGUAUCCUUCUGUGCUGGACGCCGGUGUGCCCCACCCUGAAGUGAGUAGCGUGCAAGAGAGAGCGCUAUACGUCGCGAGUAAGACGAGGACAACUAGCGCCACGAGUGGUAGGUUCAAAAAGGACAGACGAUCACGAGCGAAGAGAAGCGAGAGAUGCAGCGAGCGAGAACAAAAGGGACAGAGGAGCACCGUGGAACCGGGAAAAAACAGAGAUGGCUUUAGAAGAGGAAAAUAAAAGUGGAUCCGAUGGGAAAAAGCGGGAAAAAGAGAGAGAGGAGGAGCGUGAAUUCGCGAAAAGGGGGAAAGUCGUUUAAGGGGAGAGAAGGAGCGAAGUAAUGACAGAGUGACAGGAGUAAAAAGAGAGGGCAAGCGGAGAUUCGUGUGGAUGAAAGGAAGAAAGGGACGGAGAGUCGCGGAGAGAGAAAGAGAGAGAAUAGUAGUAGUCUGAAAAGACAAGGACAUAGCUAGUGAGGGAGAGGGAGGUAGUGAGCGAGACAGAUAGCGAGGGAGCGAGACAGAGAGAGAUCACGGCACGCAGAAAUGCCUCCUGCUUAGUGAUAGCGUAGAGACUGUAGUGUUCACAUCACACGCGACACGCCGAGAAUUUUUCGCAAGUUCGACGCGCGCCCAAAGUAUUAUCGUUCCAUUCCGCGACACGAUAAUUGGAUACGUUACAAAACGCACACACUUAACGUGUAUAUACAUAUUAUAUAGAAGAGCGCGAGCGCGCGACCAUCUCGACAAAACGCACACAUAUAUAAUACGUACGCACAGGACAACGCAGGAGACAGACCGUUCGAAGGACACACGAACAGAGAGAUAAAGUAACAGCGAAAAGGAUACUUCUCUC
rnacentral:misc_RNA from 1 species